CGGCUUGGUAAGUCAGUGGUGAAAUCCCACAGCCCAACUGUGGAACUGCCUUUGAUACUGGCCAGGCUUGAGUACCGGAGAGGGUGGCGGAUUUCAGGUGUAGGAGUGAAAUCUGUAGAUAUCUGGAGGAACACCGGUGGCGAAGGCGGCCACCUGGACGGUAACUGACGUUGAGGUGCGAAAGCGUGGGUAGCAAACAGGAUUAGAUACCCUGGUAGUCCACGCUGUAAACGAUGGGUGCUGGGUGCUGGGAUGUAUGUCUCGGUGCCGUAGCUAACGCGAUAAGCACCCCGCCUGGGGAGUACGGUCGCAAGGCUGAAACUCAAAGAAAUUGACGGGGGCCCGCACAAGCGGUGGAGUAUGUGGUUUAAUUCGAUGCAGCGCGAAGAACCUUACCCAGGCUUGACAUCUAGGGAACCCUUCGGAAAUGAAGGGGUGCCCUUCGGGGAGCCCUAAGACAGGUGAUGCAUGGCUGUCGUCAGCUCGUGCCGUGAGGUGUUGGGUUAAGUCCCGCAACGAGCGCAGCCCCUAUCUUCAGUUGCCAGCAGGUAAGGCUGGUCACUCUGGAGAGACCGCCCCGGUCAACGGGGAGGAAGGUGGGGACGACGUCAAGUCAUCAUGGCCCUUACGCCUGGGGCUACACACGUACUACAAUGGCGCGCACAAAGGGUAGCGAGACCGCGAGGUGGAGCCAAUCCCAAAAAACGCGUCCCAGUCCGGAUUGGAGUCUGCAACUCGACUCCAUGAAGUCGGAAUCGCUAGUAAUUCGAGAUCAGCAUGCUCGGGUGAAUGCGUUCCCGGGCCUUGUACACACCGCCCGUCACACCACGAAAGUCGGUUUUACCCGAAGCCGGUGAGCUAACUCGCAAGAGAAGCAGCCGCCUACGGUAGGGCCGAUGAUUGGGGUGAAGUCGUAACAAGGUAAC
rnacentral:rRNA from 1 species